ensembl:lncRNA
CUUCUAAUUAGAAAGUAAAUGUUGCCUAAGACACUGAGGCGGUAAAUAUGGAGCGUGGUGCCAUGCAUGUGUAAUUGAUUUCCUGCUCUCAAUUUCCAAAGGAUAACAGUGAAGAUGAAUUAUUCAGAGCGUCCUCACCUCUCAGUGGAUGGAUGACCUUUAAGAAGGACUUUAGCCACGCUUGUUAGUACCUGACUGAUAAACUCAGACCUUUCAAAGAGCUCUGAAAUUCACGGGGUGAAAUAUGAAAUCUGAGAGAUUAUUUUUGAUGCCGGCUUGUCCGUUCUCGUCUUCAUGCACUCGCUUUGGCGGGAUGUGGAAAACUCAAUUUGCCAUGAAAAUCUGCAAGACAUAUCGCAUUAGGUCGGACUGAUUGUAAACUUCUCACACGGGUGCAAACUGAAGUGAAAUGAAUUUAUCAUUUUGGUUCCGCCACGAGAUUCAUGCCAGACGAAUGAAGUGGUGCUGUCACUUGCAUUUAGGCCUUUGAACAUCGAUCCAGUCAGAGAAAGCCAACCACCUGAGGAGAUGAAGACGGCUGAGCAAACUUGCUUAUAAACACUUCUUAUUAAGUUGGAUUCUUUUUUUUUUUUACAUCACAAAGAGCGGUUGUUUUAUCCUUUUAAAUCCCCAGCUUUGUCAACAUGACUUUUAUUGUUCAGCAGUUGCUCCAUUAAUGCACUCUCUAACACUACGCAGAAGAAGAAAAAGAAGCUAAAGUGAGUGUCUCUAGAUAGCUGGAACUGCAAUAUUCCCACCAUCAGUCUGAAAGAGAAUAAAACAUUUGCCCACUACACAUGGUUUCCUUCCCAAGUGAAAUUCCCAGACUGCUGACUGUAUAAAAUUCAACAACACUAUCUUCCUUUCAUGCAUUUUUGAGAAGAGCAAAGGGAUCCGGAGGCUAGCGUCACUUUGAUCGUUCACUGGUUGGUUGGUUUGUUUGUUUGCUUUUCUGAAGCCCGGCACUCUAUUUUCCCCUCUUUUUUACGAUGAAUUGAUAAACCAUCUGCUCCAGUGACAGUUCAGAGCAGAGUGUCAUCAACUCAGAUUCAUGCAGAUGCUACUGUCAGGCUGCCAGCCGGAGAACCAGAGACACGUCGUACUGCAAAUUGUUUGUGUGUACGUGUGUGUAGGGGUGUUUACCACAGAACAGUGUGUGCACUCUUCCUAUAUUACCAUUUAUCUAUAAGACUAAAUGCACACUUCACUAGCUGUGUCCCAAUUCAG